GAUGAACGCUGGCGGCGUGCCUAAUACAUGCAAGUCGAGCGAACGGACGAGAAGCUUGCUUCUCUGAUGUUAGCGGCGGACGGGUGAGUAACACGUGGAUAACCUACCUAUAAGACUGGGAUAACUUCGGGAAACCGGAGCUAAUACCGGAUAAUAUUUUGAACCGCAUGGUUCAAAAGUGAAAGACGGUCUUGCUGUCACUUAUAGAUGGAUCCGCGCUGCAUUAGCUAGUUGGUAAGGUAACGGCUUACCAAGGCAACGAUGCAUAGCCGACCUGAGAGGGUGAUCGGCCACACCGGAACUGAGACACGGCCCAGACUCCUACGGGAGGCAGCAGUAGGGAAUCUUCCGCAAUGGGCGAAAGCCUGACGGAGCAACGCCGCGUGAGUGAUGAAGGUCUUCGGAUCGUAAAACUCUGUUAUUAGGGAAGAACAUAUGUGUAAGUAACUGUGCACAUCUUGACGGUACCUAAUCAGAAAGCCACGGCUAACUACGUG
rnacentral:rRNA from 1 species